CCAUUGGUCUCCGCGAGCAAGCUUGACUUAUCAGGCUGGUUCGUGGCAGGCUACGACGGGGGGGACAUUUAUCACAGCGUGUCCCAGGCUCGACCCCGUCUCUUACUCCUUGGCCUACUCCUACUCACCGUAGGGGUAGGCAUCUUUUUGCUCCCCGCUCGGUAGACGAGCGGCCCUA
rfam:Hepacivirus hominis isolate HK6a, complete genome